ACGGAAGGCAGCAGUGGGGGAUAUUGCGCAAUGGGGGAAACUCUGAUGCAGCAACGCCGCGUGAGGGAAGAAGGUCUUCGGAUUGUAAACCUAAUUUAUCAGGGACGAAGUCAAUGACGGUACCUGAAGAGAAAGCUCCGGCUAACUACGUGCCAGCAGCCGCGGUAAUACGUAGGGAGCGAGCGUUGUCCGGAUUUACUGGGUUUAAAGGGUGCGUAGGCGGGCUUGCAAGUCAGGCGUGAAAUCCCGGGGCUUAACUGCGGAGCUGCGCUUGAAACUGUAUGUCUUGAGUGAAGUAGAGGUAAGCGGAAUUCCUAGUGUAGCGGUGAAAUGCGUAGAUAUUAGGAGGAACACCAGUGGCGAAGGCGGCUUGCUGGGCUUUAACUGACGCUGAGGCACGAAAGUAUGGGGAGCAAACAGGAUUAGAUACCCUGGUA
rnacentral:rRNA from 1 species